UGGGGAAUAUUGGACAAUGGGCGAAAGCCUGAUCCAGCAAUGCCGCGUGAGUGAUGAAGGCCUUAGGGUUGUAAAGCUCUUUUACCCGGGAUGAUAAUGACAGUACCGGGAGAAUAAGCUCCGGCUAACUCCGUGCCAGCAGCCGCGGUAAUACGGAGGGAGCUAGCGUUGUUCGGAAUUACUGGGCGUAAAGCGCACGUAGGCGGCUUUGUAAGUUAGAGGUGAAAGCCUGGAGCUCAACUCCAGAACUGCCUUUAAAACUGCAUCGCUUGAAUCCAGGAGAGGUGAGUGGAAUUCCGAGUGUAGAGGUGAAAUUCGUAGAUAUUCGGAAGAACACCAGUGGCGAAGGCGGCUCACUGGACUGGUAUUGACGCUGAGGUGCGAAAGCGUGGGGAGCAAACA
rnacentral:rRNA from 1 species